UGAGCAGAUAGUCUAUAAAAGUGAGCAGUUUUGUUACCUCAUUUCUGUUUUUCUGAUUUCCGUAAGUGGGUGGUAAGAGGGGUACAAACAAGUUGAAUUUUAUUUGUGUGACUUGUUUAUAGUUUCUAAAAUUUUAUUGGUUUCAUUGAAAUUGAAAACAUAAGCGUUGAUUACUAUAAUUCUAGCUAUAGGUUGUGGGUAACCAUUACCACCCUAUUUAACAAACUUCUCAACUUAACCAAAAUUUACGAAUAGCAGCGGAAAGACUUUUUUUCAAAAGUAGGCUCAGUUGUGGUCUUUAUCUUUAGCUUGUAGGUUAUACUUGGUGCAAAAAGCCUAAUUCAGGUUUUAAAUUGUUAACUUAUUUUAAAAUAAUUAUAAUUGUUAUUAUAAAGAUUUAUUUAUUUUACUUAUUUAUUUUUUUAGGUUGGGGGGGGGGGGCACACGCCCCUCCCACAAGUCAAUAAGCACACCACCAAUAAAUGAAUUUCUUGUAGCAAAAAAAUUUUUUAUGUUUUUUAUACUGUAUACUAGUUUCACUUAUUUUAUUAAAUAUAGAAAUAUUUAUUUAUUU